rnacentral:lncRNA from 1 species
UGCCCCUCAGCUGCUGCUUCCUGGGCGGAGUCUGUGGAGGAAGCGCAGCUCCCAGGUGGAAAGCAGGGCCUCGAGAGCCCUCAUUGCAGGCUCAGUGUGUCUGUCAGGCCGGCGGGAAAUUUCUGGAGUGAGCUUCCUAAAGGGGAAAAGGGCUUGAAUCACUUCUGUGUCCUGAAGCCGCAGUUUUUCUUAAAAGUGCAAUUUAAAAUUUCUGAUUCUCCUUGUCUCCUUUCUACAUUAUCUUUCUUUCUUUUCUCCUACCCCAACACUAGAAAGAAUCAGUAUGACCCGUGUCAGUUAAAUAUCCGGGUUCCUUCCUUCACCCCAGCCUGGAUGUGCCAGGAGCCCUCGGGUGUCGGAGCCAGGCUGAGUGAGAUGCCUAGUGUGUGGUGCACACCCCACUUCUGUUACUGCGCAGUGGAAAGCGACAGCUCCAGGUGGCACACGCGACCCCCAACAGUCACCCAGGAGUCCUGGUUGCAGCCCACACCACUAGGACAGCAGCCUGACGGGCAGCAGGGCCACUCGGAGUCUCCCUGAGGGUGGAGAGCCUGGGAGGAAGAUGACCCCUCCUCAGGACCCAUGUGGACGAGCUCCGUGGCCAGCCAGGGCGGAGAACUUCCAUCGAGGAUCCCAGCCUCCUCCCCCUGGGCUCUGACACCUGGGGACGAUCCGAAGGGUCCCGGCACAGAGCAAAACAGACCCCUAAACAGAGCCUUGGUGCCUUGAGGUGGCCAGCCCAGCUUCCCCCUGAGGCCCCUAUGCUGACCGCCGCUCCCAAGUGCAGACCCCGUGUGGUCCCACACAGGCACCCUGGUGUGACCCAGUUACCCCGAGGACACAAGGUCAAGCAGCACAGGUGCCCCAGUCAGCAGGAGGCAGAGCACAGGGGAUCCCCGCACUCUGCAGCCAGGGCCCCGCUGCUGUGUUAGGGGAGCUCGAUGUGCAGCAGUCAUCACUAGAGGACACUGAAGGACAGAGGCCCCCGUGCAGGAGGGGCAGCAUGCACAGGGCAGGGAAGGGGGACAGGAUGGAAAAGGGCAGGCCCUGCACCCUGGUGACCCCGAGAGCAGCAGCCAGGGCUGCCCUGAACCCCGGGGUGCACCUCUGUGAUGGGUGAGCAGACUUGGUCCUCUCCCAGGCCCGGCUGCAAGGCUGGUGAUCCAGCAUGGGUGCCGUCCUGGAGGACCUCAGGAGCUGUCUGUCUACUAGUGCCAGCGUGUCGACUCUGGGUUUUAAGAAAUCAUUUUCACCCCCAUCUGCCCCUGUCCCCCAGUUUCCCAUUUUGGGGGAGCUGCAAUGUUAUAUUUUUCUCACAUGCAUCUUCCAUAUUGUUUCUCCAAUUUUUAAGAAUUUUCUCUUGACCUCUUCUUAAUAUAUGUGAACGUCAAAUUCUUCAGUCAUUCUAGCA